rnacentral:rRNA from 1 species
AUGGAAAAGAGUGCAUCUCAGCCUACAGAAGAUGGCCAACAAUCCAACUCUGCAGCCAAGGUUGUGGCUGAAGUUCUUACUAAGCACACUAGGAAGCCAAUGUUUCUUAAGCAUGUGGGGGUCCAGCACGUGCAUGAGAGAUCCAGUCGUAGCGACCGUGAGGCAGAACAGGAAGCGCAGAAGAGGGGAACAGCCAAGCUUCAGGCCCGUGUUGAAACCUUGACCAACCAGUUAAAGGAAUCAGAAGAAGCAAGGAUCAGGCAAGAAGAAGCAAGGAUCAAGCAAGAAGAGGAGACCAAGAAAAAGCAAGCGGAGAUGGAAGCUAAAUUAGACUUCUUACUAAAUCAGAUUACUCCAAGU